rnacentral:rRNA from 1 species
CUUAAAUUGAAGAGUUUGAUCAUGGCUCAGAUUGAACGUUGGCGGCAGGCCUAACACAUGCACGUCGAGCG